rnacentral:rRNA from 3 species
UGAGGAAUAUUGGUCAAUGGGCGAGAGCCUGAACCAGCCAAGUAGCGUGCAGGACGACGGCCCUAUGGGUUGUAAACUGCUUUUAUGUGGGGAUAAAGUGCGUGACGUGUCAUGCAUUGCAGGUACCACAUGAAUAAGGACCGGCUAAUUCCGUGCCAGCAGCCGCGGUAAUACGGAAGGUCCGGGCGUUAUCCGGAUUUAUUGGGUUUAAAGGGAGCGUAGGCUGUCUAUUAAGCGUGUUGUGAAAUUUACCGGCUCAACCGGUGGCUUGCAGCGCGAACUGGUCGACUUGAGUAUGCAGGAAGUAGGCGGAAUUCAUGGUGUAGCGGUGAAAUGCUUAGAUAUCAUGACGAACUCCGAUUGCGCAGGCAGCUUACUGUAGCAUAACUGACGCUGAUGCUCGAAAGUGCGGGUAUCAAACAGG